rnacentral:rRNA from 1 species
UACGAAGGGGGCAAGCGUUACUCGGAAUUACUGGGCGUAAAGCGUGCGUAGGUGGCUUGUUAAGUCUGCUGUGAAAGCCCCGGGCUCAACCUGGGAAUGGCAGUGGAUACUGGCAAGCUAGAGUGCGGUAGAGGGUAGUGGAAUUCCCGGUGUAGCGGUGAAAUGCGUAGAGAUCGGGAGGAACACCAGUGGCGAAGGCGGCUACCUGGACCAGCACUGACACUGAGGCACGAAAGCGUGGGGAGCAAACAGG